AUGCGAUACGUAAUGUGAAUUGCAGAAUUCAGUGAAUCAUCGAAUCUUUGAACGCAACUUGCGCUCCUUGGUAUUCCAUGGAGCAUGCCUGUUUGAGAGUCACGUAAACCCUCACCCUUACGAUGUUACAAUCGCAUUGUGGUGGAUUUGGAUUGUGCCGUAAUUGGCUCAUCCUGAAAUGCAUUAGCUUGUGCUUUUUACAGUGCUCGGCAUGGUGUGAUAAUUAUCUGCGCCGUCGCCUUAGGCCUGUUCUAUAUGUGCAGCUUCUAAUCGUCCCUUGUGGACAACUUACUUAACACUUUGGCCUCAAAUCAGGUAGGACUACCCGCUGAACUUAA
rnacentral:misc_RNA from 1 species